AGUGAACGCUGGCGGUAGGCCUAACACAUGCAAGUCGAACGGCAGCACAGUAAGAGCUUGCUCUUACGGGUGGCGAGUGGCGGACGGGUGAGGAAUACAUCGGAAUCUACUUUUUCGUGGGGGAUAACGUAGGGAAACUUACGCUAAUACCGCAUACGACCUACGGGUGAAAGCAGGGGAUCUUCGGACCUUGCGCGAUUGAAUGAGCCGAUGUCGGAUUAGCUAGUUGGCGGGGUAAAGGCCCACCAAGGCGACGAUCCGUAGCUGGUCUGAGAGGAUGAUCAGCCACCCUGGAACUGGGCCACGGUCCAGACUCCUACGGGAGGCCGCAGUGGGGAAUAUUGGACAAUGGGCGCAAGCCUGAUCCAGCCCUACCGCGUGGGUGAAGAAGGCCUUCGGGUUGUAAAGCCCUUUUGUUGGGAAAGAAAAGCAGCAGGUUAAUACCCCGCUGUUCUGACGGUACCCAAAGAAUAAGCACCGGCUAACUUCGUG
rnacentral:rRNA from 1 species